AACGAACGCUGGCGGCAUGCCUAACACAUGCAAGUCGAACGAGACCUUCGGGUCUAGUGGCGCACGGGUGCGUAACGCGUGGGAAUCUGCCCUUGGGUUCGGAAUAACAGUUAGAAAUGACUGCUAAUACCGGAUAAUGUCUUCGGACCAAAGAUUUAUCGCCCAGGGAUGAGCCCGCGUAGGAUUAGCUAGUUGGUGAGGUAAAGGCUCACCAAGGCGACGAUCCUUAGCUGGUCUGAGAGGAUGAUCAGCCACACUGGGACUGAGACACGGCCCAGACUCCUACGGGAGGCAGCAGUGGGGGAAUAUUGGGACAAAUGGGCGAAAGCCUGAUCCAGCAAUGCCGCGUGAGUGAUGAAGGCC
rnacentral:rRNA from 1 species